GCCUUCCCACCUUUCACUCCCCCUGUCCCAUUUUCUUUCCUUCCCCUCUGUUCCUGAUUUCUUUCCCCCUCUCUUGUCCUCCCUGUUCAAGGAUCUCUCUGUUUAAAACGUCAUAGGUCUUGAGCUUGAAUGCAAAGGCUGUUUUCUGUCAGUCCGGCACACCAUCCCUGCAAGAUGCCAUCUCGCUCGCAUUCUUCCCAACAACGCUAGACAGGACUGAGGAAUCUGAAAGGCAUUAUUGGUGCUCCAGCAGCUUUGACGCGCCUUCUGCACUUGACUCGCUCGAUUUGCAUAUGCAGUGCAGCCAUACUUAAUGAGUGGAUGCUACUGAUCUCCAGGAAGGUCUUCAGGGAGGAUGGGUUUGAAUGGUUUUUCAUGGGAAGGUCAGCAUCAAAGAUUCUGCAGCCCAACCUAGCCAGGACAUGGAAACAGCUACAUGUGAAUAUAAAACCAAAGAAAACGAGGAUCUCUAUGAGAACAGAAAGCAACGAAUAAACCAUCAGAUAAGUCCUUGCCAGAAGGCAGCCUUUGAAGGAGUCAAGAGCAGGUAG